ensembl:lncRNA uncharacterized LOC103093376
GCCUGAUAUAAAUCCCACCUGAUCCUAGUGAAUAAUCUUUGUGAUAUAUUGUUGUAGUUUCUUUGUUAGUAUUUUAUUUAAGAUUUUUGCAUCAAUGUUCAUUAGGGAAAUUGGUUUAUAAUUUUCUUUCUCUGCUUUGGUCUUCCUAGUUUUGGAAUUACACUCCCUAAACAUUGUUCCUUUCUUCAGUUCUCUCAGAUCAAAUCCUAGGAGUAGCCAAGCCUUGGGUGUUGUCUCCCCUUCUGGGGACCUAGACCAAGAUUCUGAGCAGCUCAGAAUCCUAGAAGGAGUUAACUAAAUCUAGUCCUUGCUCCUGCCUAUAUUUCUGGACAGAGGAGCUGAGAAAUUCUACUUUUUGCCGUUCUGGACAUGGUGAAAGAACCAGGAAGGGAGAAAUCUUCAAAGGUGAGAAUGUCAAGAUCAGAACAAAACAAUUCCGUUUCCUCAGUAGUAUGUCCAAGCAGAUUGGUCAUUGGACCAGGAUAUCACCUUUAGAUGAAUGUUUAUAGCCAGUUUACAACUUUGAUUCUUGGGACCCUAUGCCCCCCUUUCUGCCACACUAUUACCAUCACUGUGGAAGAAGAAUUAUAUGGCACAAGACUAUGAGGAUUUUGUAUUUAUUUCAUAGGUUGCCAUAACCGAAGAACCUAUCAGCAAGCCUCCAGUCUACUUGUGGCCUUCCUUUCACAUUUGCCUAGGCUGGUCUUCAGAAAACAGGCAGAAUCUGCUGCUGGCACAAUAGUUGGAGGCUUUCUAACACGGACCUGUCAGAGCUUUGCUUUCCUGACAAAGCCCAGAAAGCAAACCCAAGAUCACUUCCAUGCCACCGUGAAGCAUUAAAGUAGGACUUGGGGGGGGGGGGGGUUGCGACUAUUAUUCCAUAAAUUCUCCACAGAGGAUCCAGCUAGCAUGAUAGGUGCCAAGACCCCAAUGACUCGAUCCCAUCUCUGCUUCUGGUGACAUUCACAAGUCAUUGACUGUAUUUCUAGGCCUUAGCAAAAAGCUUUGUCAACACUUAAAUUAUCUUUGCUAUUAUGCCACAGCUAGUUUAUAGCCACCAUGGUUGUUUCCAUUGUUCUUUGAGUAUUUCCAUACUUCUCCCGAUAAUGGUCUUUCCAUGAAUCACAAACUUAGUAGCAUACUGAUGUUUUAAAAAAGCAGUGGGUUCAGGGGAUCAUUGAAAAUGACACACAAUUUCCUAUAUGCAAUGUAGACUAAUCUCCUCUUUCUACGCAUUUCUGGGCCCAGUUCAUUGUCAAUCAGUAGGAUCUGUCCAAGACACUUACGCUGAUGGAUUAACUCACUUGCUUGCCAGUCUCAUGUAGGCAACUGGGUAACAUGCCUUUUUUCAUGUACUGCUAAUUACUCGGUUGGACAGUUAAGCCAAUUUCUUCCAAAUAACUAUGGAUUUCAUCGAAUAGUUUUACCAUCUAUUGAUUAGUACAAUUUCCUCUGGGAAUAGCAGCAUUCAGAGAUUUGCCACUGAGACAAUCUUUUUCAUAUGCUGGCUUUGCACCAGAUAUUCUCUGGGACACUGGCAAACACUUUUGCUGAGCUCUCUCUGCAGUGAUUCAUAUGAUGGAUCUCUUUUUUUCUUUAUCUUUCCUAAAAUGGGGCACCUGUGCCAUAUUUUUCUGAGUCUUUCCUUAGAUCUGGCCUGAUCAAGGCUGAGCAUAGUGGAACUAUCAAUUCCUUCAUUCUGGACUCUCUGCCCCUUUCUAAUGCCACCUGGGAGAAGGAAGUUUUAUUGACUUCCAUGCCAUAUGGUUGACUCAUUUGGAGUUUUUGUCCAGAUCUUUUUUCAUGGGAACUCUUACCCAGGGACACCUUCCCAAUAUAACAUCUGAAAAGCUGAUUUUUAAUAAAACCUCAAGUAUAAAACA